CAUAUACUCCCUCCGCCCCGAAUUACUUAUCGCAGAAAUGAAUGUAAAUGGAUGUAUCUAAAACUAAAAAUACGUUUAGGUACAUUCAUUUCUGUGACAAGUAGUUCGGGACGGUGGGAGUAUUUG
rfam:Triticum aestivum genome assembly, contig: Triticum_aestivum_CS42_TGACv1_scaffold_499376_6BL